CUGGGAGGACCAUCUCCUAAGGCUAAAUACUCUCUAGUGACCGAUAGUGAACCAGUACCGUGAGGGAAAGGUGAAAAGCACCCCGGAAGGGGAGUGAAAUAGAACCUGAAACCGUGUGCUUACAAGUAGUCAGAGCCCGUUAAUGGGUGAUGGCGUGCCUUUUGUAGAAUGAACCGGCGAGUUACGAUUUGAUGCAAGGUUAAGCAGUAAAUGUGGAGCCGUAGCGAAAGCGAGUCUGAAUAGGGCGUUUAGUAUUUGGUCGUAGACCCGAAACCAGGUGAUCUACCCUUGGUCAGGUUGAAGUUCAGGUAACACUGAAUGGAGGACCGAACCGACUUACGUUGAAAAGUGAGCGGAUGAACUGAGGGUAGCGGAGAAAUUCCAAUCGAACCUGGAGAUAGCUGGUUCUCUCCGAAAUAGCUUUAGGGCUAGCCUCAAGUGAUGAUUAUUGGAGGUAGAGCACUGUUUGGACGAGGGGCCCCUCUCGGGUUACCGAAUUCAGACAAACUCCGAAUGCCAAUUAAUUUAACUUGGGAGUCAGAACAUGGGUGAUAAGGUCCGUGUUCGAAAGGGAAACAGCCCAGACCACCAGCUAAGGUCCCAAAAUAUAUGUUAAGUGGAAAAGGAUGUGGCGUUGCCCAGACAACUAGGAUGUUGGCUUAGAAGCAGCCAUCAUUUAAAGAGUGCGUAAUAGCUCACUAGUCGAGUGACACUGCGCCGAAAAUGUACCGGGGCUAAACAUAUUACCGAAGCUGUGGAUUGUCCUUUGGACAAUGGUAGGAGAGCGUUCUAAGGGCGUUGAAGCAUGAUCGUAAGGACAUGUGGAGCGCUUAGAAGUGAGAAUGCCGGUGUGAGUAGCGAAAGACGGGUGAGAAUCCCGUCCACCGAUUGACUAAGGUUUCCAGAGGAAGGCUCGUCCGCUCUGGGUUAGUCGGGUCCUAAGCUGAGG
rnacentral:rRNA from 1 species